rnacentral:lncRNA from 7 species
UUCUUACUAGAAUCUACACCAAAACAGAACAGGAAAGAUGCAUCUACUGCAGAGUAUUUUACUGUCCAGCGUUCUAUAGGUUGUUGUCAGCAUUUGCAAAAAGCACAAGCAACUACAAAGAUCAAGAUUAGCAGAAAAUAAAAACAGGAGACUUUGUACAAAAGGAAAAUUCGGAGAUGAAUUCAGUGAUGAGUCUGCUAGAGUAUGCUACAGAGAUGGCCGUCUGUUGGAUGAUGUGGCAAUGCUGUCUGUCCUGUUAUCAAGUAUGACAAUCUGCUCAGCUUCUCCUAAUGUUGUGGUAGUACCUGGCACUGGCCGCCAAGUGUAAUCUCUCACCGCUAGCCAAAAUAGAUCAAGGCUGACCACUUCAUUCUAAACAUGGAGUGAGCUUAUCUGUCCAAAGAGCAAACGCAGCAGAGGGCAUACUGGUAACAUAAUUGGACAGAGAACUCUAAUCCUCUGUAUUGUAGGAUGUGAAAAGAAAUCUCAGCUGAACAUUCAGCAGCACACUGGAAAGCAAAUGGCAUUCUCAUCACCAAGGAUUUUGAUUAGCAUUUCUGCUGACCUUUUUGUGGGUUCUUUAAAAAGCUGAGGUUGAUUGUUCUGAUGGACGCUUUUAUCAGUCCAGGCACUAAAUAAUUUAUUAAAUGCUUUUGCUGAAGAUGGAGAAUUGGUAACACAAGAGAUGCUUCUGGGAACCAUCUUUCUCAAGUAUAUAAAGAACUUCCUAUAUUUGUGUAUUCUGUACUUAGAUGAACGUAUAUUGUCCACAAACAUGAGCUGCAUUACAAGGGAGCUAUGCACACAUUAAUUUGGUUAAUCUCAGGUAACAAUUUAAAAGUGGGUUUGGCUGUCAUGUUCUGCCAGGAGGUCUGUAUACUGGAAAAACUGCACCUCCAACAGGAGACCACUGAAUAAGCAACCGAUGGUUAAGAGCCAUUGAAGAUUGCUUCCUGGUCCUAGUUUCAGAGUUAAAAAUGCUUGACAGAACAGCAAUAAGCCUUUUCUAUGCAGGCAGCAAUACCUAUAUUACAGUUAUCUUUCUCAAAUAAAAUGCAGAAGAGAAAACUCUAUGACUGAGUUACACUGUUGUAGUUUGCCUUCUCUCCCCCCCCCCUCCACCCCCCCCUAGAAAAAAAGGUGUUGAAUGCAUGCAUGUUUAUGUGGACAUGUCAUGUCAUCAGAACUGGAUGGCUGCCAGAGAAGGAGUACUUAUAUAUAGUCAGACAUUCCUUUUAUGUUAUCGAUACCUGGUAUCUUUCCAAAAUAAUCUUGCCUAAUUUUGGACACUUUAAAGACUGAUUUAGCUGUGUUGCUUCAUUGAAAUCUUGGGAAAGGUUGCCUUGUGAAGCACUACUAAAAAUGUCAGAC